UACGAAGGGGGCUAGCGUUGUUCGGAAUUACUGGGCGUAAAGCGCACGUAGGCGGAUCUGUAAGUAGGGGGUGAAAUCCCCGGGCUCAACCCGGGAACUGCCUUCUAGACUGCAGACCUUGAGAUUAGGAGAGGCGAGCGGAAUUCCGAGUGUAGAGGUGAAAUUCGUAGAUAUUCGGAGGAACCCCAGUGGCGAAGGCGGCUCGCUGGACUGAUACUGACGCUGAGGUGCGCAAGCGUGGGGAGCAAACAGG
rnacentral:rRNA from 1 species